GACGAACGCUGGCGGCGUGCCUAAUACAUGCAAGUAGAACGCUGAAGGAGGAGCUUGCUUCUCUGGAUGAGUUGCGAACGGGUGAGUAACGCGUAGGUAACCUGCCUGGUAGCGGGGGAUAACUAUUGGAAACGAUAGCUAAUACCGCAUAAUAGUAGAUGUUGCAUGACAUUUGCUUAAAAGGUGCAAUUGCAUCACUACCAGAUGGACCUGCGUUGUAUUAGCUAGUUGGUGGGGUAACGGCUCACCAAGGCGACGAUACAUAGCCGACCUGAGAGGGUGAUCGGCCACACUGGGACUGAGACACGGCCCAGACUCCUACGGGAGGCAGCAGUAGGGAAUCUUCGGCAAUGGACGGAAGUCUGACCGAGCAACGCCGCGUGAGUGAAGAAGGUUUUCGGAUCGUAAAGCUCUGUUGUAAGAGAAGAACGAGUGUGAGAGUGGAAAGUGCACACUGUGACGGUAUCUUACCAGAAAUGGACGGCUAACUACGU
rnacentral:rRNA from 1 species